AUAGAUAUUGGCUAGAAGCACGUAAGCGGAAGAGUUCCUCUGCUGCUCGAUCGUUGAGCUAAAUCGACUUUAGCAUCAACUUUGCAGGUGUUGAGAUCUCAGUUAAGAGUUAAUAUAGGCUGCUGGUGCAAGCCUCUGGUAUUGGUUCAUAGAACAGAGAUUAAGAGAGAACAAGGUUUCUUAUCAUCUUCAUUAUCAAAAUAUUGUUUACCUAGAUUGAUUCUUGUGGCUUCACUUUAUAAAUCUGAAAGCACUUUUUAAAUAUUCUGGCAUAAUUUUUAAGAUUUCUUCCUCUGUCUUGAACGUG
rnacentral:lncRNA from 1 species